rnacentral:rRNA from 1 species
GAUCAUGGCUCAGGAUGAACGCUGGCGGCGUGCUUAACACAUGCAAGUCGAACGGGGAUUAUUUCGACAGAGACUUCGGUUGAAGUCGUUAUAAUCCUAGUGGCGGACGGGUGAGUAACGCGUGGGUAACCUGCCUCACACUGGGGGAUAACAGUCAGAAAUGACUGCUAAUACCGCAUAAGCGCACGGGAUUGCAUGAUCCAGUGUGAAAAACUCCGGUGGUGUAAGAUGGACCCGCG